CUACGGGUCGCACCAGUGAGGAAUUUUGCGCAAUGGGGGAAACCCUGACGCAGCAACGCCGCGUGAGUGAUGAAGGCUUUCGGGUCGUAAAACUCUGUCAAGUGGGAAGAAACUGAAAGGUGCAAAUAACAUCUUUUUUUGACGGUACCACUGAAGGAAGCACCGGCUAACUCCGUGCCAGCAGCCGCGGUAAUACGGGGGGUGCAAGCGUUAUUCGGAAUCAUUGGGCGGAAAGGGCGCGUAGGCGGCCUCUUAAGUCAGAUGUGAAAGCCCGGGGCUUAACCCCGGAAGUGCAUUUGAACUAAGGGGCUUGAGUAUGGGAGAGGGAAGUGGAAUUCCUGGUGUAGAGGUGAAAUUCGUAGAUAUCAGGAGGAACACCGGUGGCGAAGGCGACUUCCUGGACCAAUACUGACGCUGAGGCGCGAAGGCGUGGGGAGCAAACAGGAUUAGAUACCCUCGUAGUC
rnacentral:rRNA from 1 species